UUGAAACACUGGUUCCCAUACAAUCACUGAAGUUAAGCAAUGUUGAACCUAGUCAGUACCAAAUGAGUGACUGAUUGGGAAUACCAGGUGCUGUAAG